rnacentral:lncRNA from 1 species
GUCUGGCGCCGGGCUACCUCCCGCCGCCGCCUGGGCUGGUCCGGCGGUGGAUGCGGGAGGGGAGGAUGGUGCGGCAGGGGGAGCAAGCGGCUGGGUGACCGUAAUGGUGGCGAUACGCGCUGUGCUUAUGAUGCCGCCCUUUAUCUUUGUGUCUUGAGGAUUAUGGUGAAUGACGCUUGAAACCUGAACAAGGUCUAGGUAUCUUUGCGCGACUCUUGGUGUUUUUACAACUUUGCCGGCCGCCAUCUAUUUUCAGAUGGGGAAACAGGCUCAAACUCAGUCCAUGACCCUCUCAGGGUCCACGUAAUUACUAAAAGCCAGGGUUUCCUCCCUACCGAAAGUCGCUUCUACAGUCUUAGAGCCUCUUCUGAGGGUAACAGACUGCCUUGCACACGCAGUGCUUGUGAGGAGAAACAGUAAGGUGAAUCCAGUGCUGUCCAGAGAUAGGAAGUGACCAGCCAACCUAGCUGCUUUCAAAUGUUUUUAAAGAUGAGAGCCCUAAAAACAUCUACUCCUUCCUUUUCGGAAGUGAAACAAGCUUGGACAGAACAAGUAGUUACGCAUUUUAAGCAGAGUCCCUUUGGUCCAGUGCCAGCUGGGGUCAUCCCGGGGUGGUGAUGUUGCAUCCCUGGACCAGAUGCUGUCCAUGGAAUAAGGCCAGCGGAGCCCAGGCAGCCUUGUGCUUUAGAGUGGAUACCGACUUUACUAUUGCUCCACCUUAGAACAUGUUUGAGCCAAGGGACUGUGGAAACCGUCUAUUCCAAACCAUCUCCUUUAAAACCACCAGGAACCCAGAGAGAACUGGAAGCCUUUCCAGAAGUCUGAAAUCAAGGUGUUGGCAGGGCCAUGCUCUCUCUGAAGACUCUAAGGGAGGAUCCUUCCUUGUCUCUCCUGAGCUUCUGGUAGCUGCUGGCAGUCUGUGGCAUUUCUUGGGAAUGAUCUUCAGUUUGAAGGAUGUCUGCGAGAGAACUACAGCUAACAAUGGUUGCAAGAUCAAAGUAACUCAUCACGUUCGGUGUUUUAAGAGCAUUAAAGUUUGAGAAAGCAGGUGACACCUGGACUGCAGAAGCCAUCCUGCAACCAUGAGGGAAGAGCAAUGCAGAUAAGAAGCCAAUACUAAAUAUGACGAAAUAGAAAAAGCACAUUGUCUGGGGCGAUCAUGGCAUCACUAAAGGCACUGAACUAAUACCAGCCACUGGGUCUACCUC